CCAAGGCGACGAUCCGUAACUGGUCUGAGAGGAUGAUCAGUCACACUGGAACUGAGACACGGUCCAGACUCCUACGGGAGGCAGCAGUGGGGAAUAUUGGACAAUGGGCGAAAGCCUGAUCCAGCCAUGCCGCGUGUGUGAAGAAGGUCUUCGGAUUGUAAAGCACUUUAAGUUGGGAGGAAGGGCAGUAAGUUAAUACCUUGCUGUUUUGACGUUACCGACAGAAUAAGCACCGGCUAACUCUGUGCCAGCAGCCGCGGUAAUACAGAGGGUGCAAGCGUUAAUCGGAAUUACUGGGCGUAAAGCGCGCGUAGGUGGUUUGUUAAGUUGGAUGUGAAAGCCCCGGGCUCAACCUGGGAACUGCAUCCAAAACUGGCAAGCUAGAGUACGGUAGAGGGUGGUGGAAUUUCCUGUGUAGCGGUGAAAUGCGUAGAUAUAGGAAGGAACACCAGUGGCGAAGGCGACCACCUGGACUGAUACUGACACUGAG
rnacentral:rRNA from 1 species